rnacentral:miRNA from 1 species
UGCUACUUGUAGUUAUGCAUG